rnacentral:rRNA from 1 species
AUUGAACGCUGGCGGCAGGCCUAACACAUGCAAGUCGAGCGGAUGAAGGGAGCUUGCUCCUGGAUUCAGCGGCGGACGGGUGAGUAAUGCCUAGGAAUCUGCCUGGUAGUGGGGGAUAACGUCCGGAAACGGGCGCUAAUACCGCAUACGUCCUGAGGGAGAAAGUGGGGGAUCUUCGGACCUCACGCUAUCAGAUGAGCCUAGGUCGGAUUAGCUAGUUGGUGGGGUAAAGGCCUACCAAGGCGACGAUCCGUAACUGGUCUGAGAGGAUGAUCAGUCACACUGGAACUGAGACACGGUCCAGACUCCUACGGGAGGCAGCAGUGGGGAAUAUUGGACAAUGGGCGAAAGCCUGAUCCAGCCAUGCCGCGUGAGUGAAGAAGGUCUUCGGAUUGUAAAGCACUUUAAGUUGGGAGGAAGAGCAGUAAGUUAAUACCUUGCUGUUUUGACGUUACCAACAGAAUAAGCACCGGCUAACUUCGUG